rnacentral:rRNA from 1 species
CCUACGGGUGGCAGCAGUGAGGAAUAUUGGUCAAUGGGCGCGAGCCUGAACCAGCCAAGUCGCGUGAGGGAGUACUGCCCUAUGGGUUGUAAACUUCUUUUGUCGGGGAGUAAAAGCAGGAAGUGUCCGGCUGUGAGAGUUCCCGAAGAAAAAGCAUCGGCUAACUUCGUGCCGGCAGCCGCGGUAAUACGGAGGAUGCGAGCGUUUUCCGGGUUUUUUGGGUUUAAAGGGUGGGGAGGCGGAUUUUUAAGUUAGCGGUAAAAACGUGGGGCUCAACCCCAUCAAGCGGUUGAAAUUGGGGGUCUUGAGUGUGCUAGAGGUAUGCGGAAUGCGUGGUGUAGCGGUGAAAUGCAUAGAUAUCACGCAGAACCCCGAUUGCGAAGGCAGCAUACC